rnacentral:sRNA from 1 species
GCUAGCGAAACAAAAGGUUUAAUCGUA